ACCCUACUACCAAACAUGCAAAAUACUUUCUCCAAAACCCGUUACCAUUACCAAGUAUUUAAUUCUCAUUUCAAUUCUGAUUUCCAUGUGCGAACAAAACACACCCUUAAUCUUUUCAAAAGUACAUUAUUAAUUUGU